UUCCUUUGUGUGACAUUUAUCAGGGUAUUUCAGUGGAAGCCGUGAAGGCGUCACCUGUUACCGUGGAAAGACCGCCGUCUUUUCACUUUCACUUCAGCUCCAACACGAUGCACAACAUCGGCUGUGGAAAGACCGUUUUAAAUGCUCUCUUCUUGGAUUUUAUUUUCCUUUUUUUAAAUCAUCUCUACUAAGCUGUAGAUGUUGGCAUUUCGUUGUGUUGGAUUAUAAUUGGCUUGGAUCUGCUGGGCUGAUCGACACGACAACAGCUGCUGGAAAUUUAAAGCAACUGCAGAUUAAAUUAGGUAAAAGUAAAAGUGAAACCGACUGGUUUUCUUCAACGGUCUGAAUCUUUGUUCGGCUCUGUGGCUUGGAUGGAUUUUAAUUCACUAAAACCGAAGGCUGUGAUGGAUUUAAGGAUACCAGUCUGUAAAGCAUCAGAUCGCUGGAGAAAAAAGGAAGAAGAGGAGACGGAGACGGAUUGUGGGCGUCUUGCAUCUCUGGCAUUAUGUGUGAUCAGCAGAAAUAACAGACCUUUUGGACAUAUAGAAAGUUUCACAUGUUUUUUUUGUGGUUCUUCUUUUUCAUUGUGGAUUUUUGUGUCACGGUUGUUUAGUCCAAGUAUUCAUACAUUUUAAACUUUUUUUUUUUUACGUCUCUUUACACAGACUGUAGCAUAAAAUGCCUCAUAUUUGUGAAGUGGAAGGAAUAUAGUUCAUUGUUUUGAUUUUUUUUUUUGUUUAUCAAUUUAGUUAUUUAUUUAUUGCACUUUUAAUUUAUUUUUAAUUCUUCCUGGUCAGCCUCCCCAGUCGAUGUUUUGUAAAAACGCCGUUUACUGGGAUCACAGCUCCUGGUCUGUUGGAGUAAAUCUCUGAAAACUUUCACAUCCAGUGACUUAAAAAUAUUCCUGUUUGGGGAAAAAACAGCAUCUGUGAUCAACUGUCUUCACGUAGCUCCAUUAAUUGAUUUAAUUGUUCUCAGCCAGGUGUGGCCAGCUCCUGUUCCUUUGUGUCCUGUGUGCUUUGGACCUUCCUCUGAUUCAACACACCUGAAUUAAACGAAAGUUUCUCCAGGAUUCCUCAGUAAUUGAUCCUUUCAGUAAACUGCGCUGUAAAACAUGCAGCUUUCAUGGGCUGAACGUGGCCAACCAGAGAAGAACCCCUCAGCAUAAUGCUGCCAACAAUCUGAACAGAUUCUCCAAAUUGACACAAACAGUUAUGCUGGUCUAUCAAUAGAUCUAAUGUUAUGUUAUGUAAGCUGACCUGGUGUUUGAAUAAAGGACUUCACCCUCAUUGGAA